rnacentral:rRNA from 1 species
GACGAACGCUGGCGGCGUGCCUAAUACAUGCAAGUCGAGCGGAUGACGGAGAAGCUUGCUCCUCCCGAUUCAGCGGCGGACGGGUGAGUAACACGUGGGCAACCUGCCCUGUAGAUUGGGAUAACUCCGGGAAACCGGGCUAAUACCGAAUAAUCCUUCGGACCUCAUGGUCCGAUGUUGAAAGACGGUUUCGGCUGUCACUACAGGAUGGGCCCGCGGCGCAUUAGCUAGUUGGUGAGGUAACGGCUCACCAAGGCGACGAUGCGUAGCCGACCGGAGAGGGUGAUCGGCCACACUGGGACUGAGACACGGACCAGACUCCUACGGGAGGCAGCAGUAGGGAAUCUUCCACAAUGGACGAAAGUCUGAUGGAGCAACGCCGCGUGAGUGAAGAAGGUUCUCGGAUCGUAAAACUCUGUUGUGAGGGAAGAACAAGUACCGGAGUAACUGCCGGUGCCUUGACGGUACCUCAUUAGAAAGCCACGGCUAACUACGUGCCAGCAGCCGCCGUAAGAC